rnacentral:lncRNA from 1 species
CCUCUUCUACCUUGGUUUUAAGCAAGUUCUAAUCAUCUGCUCCAUCAUUGCUUGACUUUUGCCAGAUCCUCUCCACUUCGAGCACUCUUGUGAUAUCCCACUAUGGUGCCCUUGACACAGGUCUCUCCCAUGACAUCUAGAUAAUUUACGUGGAAGUGAUAGUCUGGAUUAAGAGUCAGACAUCUUUAGUAUCAGGAAAUCUGAUUAUUUUGCAUCUACUCCUCCUGAGAGAAGACACUUUGAAGACUUUUAUCCUCCCACUCCUGCUCUGUCCCCUCCUAGCCUUAGAGAGAAGCCUGGUGUCCUUCAGGAGGCACAACACAUCCAAGGAUUGGAGGCCAGGCCAUCACAGGUGCUGGUCUCCAAGGUUUUCAAGUGCAGGCUGCAGUCCAAAGCCAAGAACUGUUUCAUGGACGUUAGCGGGGCAUAUGAAGAAUUGGAAUAGAGACUGUAAACUUUACAUCAAUGUUAAUUUUCUUGAACUGGAUAACUGCACUUAAGGCAGUUACAUAGUGAAUAUCCCUGUUCUUUAGAAAUGUACAUGGCAGUAUUAAGUGUUCAAGAAGCAUGACGCAUAAAACCUGCACUCAAGUGUUCAGAAAAUAGCUAGCUAGCUAGGUAGAUAGCCAGCUAGCGAGAGUCAAUGUGGUAAAAUGUUAAAAUUGGUAGAUCUGGGUAUAUGGAAGUAGGGCUAUUUUGGAGUCUCUGUAUGGGGUUUGCAUUCAUUUUUUAACUGUCCUAUAGGUUUGAAAGUAUUUCAAAAAAGUUUUUUAAGAGUAUUUUUCCAAAUUCUUGUUUUAUGCUUGAUUAUACUAUGUCUAUUUUGGACAUGAACUGUAUAGUAUCCUCCCUUCCAUGAUAAAGUAAAUAAAGCACUGCAUUACAACUGCUU